ensembl:lncRNA
UGUGGGUGAAGAAAUCAUUACUCUUUUAAAUCCUAAAUACUUCCAUUCUUUCCCUCCUCUCCCAUACACAUGUGCAUGCACUGGUAAAUCUACCCUCUGAGUCUCUACAGCAUGGUGUGUGUGCCUUUUAUAGCAGUUAGGCAACACGUGGGAGCUGUUGAAGGAUCUAAAUUCUCAGCGAGACUAUGAGCUCAUACAAAUAUUUCUGGACAAUAUGAAUGGAGAGCAGGAGCCUGGGGCCAUCUUUAGAACAUAGGUGCCCUGCAAUUGUGUGUUAUGUUGAAAUAAUGUCACGUGUACUCAAAAAUACUAUUGAAAGACAGCUGAGACACUGAGACAGAGAAGGAAGACAAAUGGGUGAAAAUGGGUUAAGGAAUGAGAUCCUGUUAGUCUCCAGAUGGCAAGAAAAAGAAGAUGGGAGAGUGUCAGGUGUGCAGGCAGCUGCAGGUCCAGUAAGGGGCCCUGCCAAGACAGCCAGAUUCCGUUUUGCUCUCUGAAACAGCUGUAGGUGCUUGGCCUUCCGGGGGCAGCAAGGGAGAGCUUCGACCACCGAGAGUCGAGUUUAAUAUUUAUUAAGCACUAUCUUUAUGCCAAGUACUGUGCUUGGGACUUUUCGUGUACAUUGCAUCUCAGAUCAUCCUGGCAACGGCUCGCUGGGACAAGACUUUAUAAUCCUGUUUCAUUGUUUAGGAAACAGGCUUAGCAAAGCCAAGUAGAACUCACAUAGCUAGUAAGAACCUGGAUUUCUAUGUAAUUAAAAUCUCACUGUAUUCAUUCUCAUUACUUUGAUCCACUAGUCUUUACAGCUGCUUUUGAAAAUCCUUUUUGUUUUCUCUAUUUUAAGAAGAUUUACAUGCUCAAGGAGGAGGUGGAGAGGAAGUUAAAAAAAAAACUAAAGAAAAAAUUUUAAAAUUAGAUUCCUGCUAUUGAGACAUAUCCACCAUUAAGAUGUAUAUCCUUGUAACUUUUUUCUAUUAUUAUACAUAUUUUAAAAACAAUAUUGGCAUCAGAUACUUGUUUUUUCACCUACUAUGAUAAGGAGUGAGUUUAUGUGCCCAGUUGUGUCUGACUCUUUGCAACUGCAUGGAUUGUAGCCCACCAGGGUCCUUUGUCUAUGGGAUUUCCCAGGCACAAAUACUGGAAUGAGUUGCCAUUUCUUUCUCUGGGGAAUCUUUCUAACCCAGGGAUCAAACCCAUGUCUUCUGUGUCUCCUGCAUUGAAAGAGGAUUCUUUACCGGCUGAGCCAUUGGGGAAGCUCAGUGAGUUAAUACCCACCCCUCCCUUCUCCUUAGCAGAGGCCCAGAGCUUGCUGGCUCCUGAGGGGCUAUUGAAGUUCUACUCUGGCCAUUAAUCUUCCACUUCUGCUCCAUGCCCUUCAUCUCCUGUAUUUACUCUGCCCCUU